AAAAUCGGGCCAUUGAUUAGAAAGGCGCCCUCAAGCCGAGAAAAGGGAGGGGAGAAGCUCCACCGAGGAUGCUGAUGCUAGAAGACAAGGUCAUUGUGAAGUUAGAGACGAGGAUCUUCCGAGCUGGAAAAUAGCCAGGACGUCUCGUCAAGGCAGAGGUCCAAAUCGCCGUGUUUCAAAGAGUCGGAACGAAUUUUUGAAACUGUGAGGGGAUCGGCAUCCUCUUAUUUUGGGCGACGGCUUGACUUCUAUGCAGAGGCAAGCUCGCGCACCAAUAUCCUGACCUCGGUGUCGACCUGGAGGCGUCGAGAUGACCACGAACUCCUCUCCGCAAAGAGGAGGUCGAAGCCGAGGAGAGAGCGGCCGAAGAGGGGCAAGCGGGGUAGAGGGGGUUGGCGAGGUUGUUAAAAAAAAGGAUCCCCCUUUUGUACUUUUAAUUUUUUUUUGAUUUUAUUGUAUUCGUGAUCUUCAGUGGAUAAUACAAGCUGAUCUCGUUUUCCCAAUCGUCGUUUUCCUUUCUUAAUUACCCUCGGCAUGCAUGCGUUCAUCUUUUUGGAAUAUUCAUGGUGGAAAGUGGCGGUCAAAAACUUUCCGCGCCCUAACUGUAUAAGCUCCUGGACGACGAGGUUUAUCCGUGGAGACCGUCGACGGCUAUGAGAUUCUUUGUAUGAAUGGGCGCUCUCAUAAUGGCGACGUCGGUUAGUGGUGAUUCAAGAUUCUUCGAGUCUCUCUGUAAGAACUGGCAAUCUGGCCCCUCAGGCGGUCAAGGUUUUGGGCACAUGGUUUGAUUUGGGCUUGUAUAGGGCAAAAUCUCUUGGGCCGAGCAGUGCUUUAAAGCGCAUUAAGGCCGACGUGAGAUUUGUACAGGUGCUGGUUUUAAUGCGGGCGAUAGGCGACGUGGGCAUCUAAUCAUAGACGGUUCCUAAUCACAAAGAGCACAUCUUGUUCGCAUGACCAAUGCUGACGUGUUUGUGCAAUGAUGGUCUGGCCAAAUGAGCGUCAAUCACAACGGACUCGCUCCAGAGCCACGUGGUAGAGGAAAUUAAAUGCAGAAUAGGUUGGUCGCGGAAAAAUGUUUAAUAAAAUAUGGCGGGAACGGCGUUUUUUACUUCUUCGAAAUCGGAACGUCGCGUGAAUCUGGGCCGUUUUGGCCCCGAUCGAUCACAUCAGCCCUCCCAAUGUUGUAAUUAAAUGGGGUUUAAAAAACCUAUUCAUUCGCACAUUUCCAUUGUUUGGGUCGAAGUGCUGCUCCGUGUCCGAACUGCAACUCGCGUACCAGGUCGACGGUCCCGUUUAUGUUCUCUAAGACCACCUCGGAGGCGAAGAAUCUAGCAAUAAUCCCUGCCUUCUUGGAUAUCCAAUCAUCGUGGGGCGAAGGUUUCCUAUAUCCGUUAAACGAGCCAGUCUCCUCCAUUUCCACCAAUACCACCACCAAUUUCCCCAAGGGAUGAUACCUCGAGUCUUAUUACUAAGGAGGGGACGUCAUGUCCCCCGGCUGAACUGACAAGCCGAUCUACCUAAUUCAUUUCCCUCAGGUACGACUUCGGAUCCCCGGGAUGGCGAGACAAUUUCUAUCAGCCUGCCAAGGCGAAGUGGGGCGUUUUACGAAGCCGCUUUUCUGGCCGAUUUGAGCUUUCCCUUCACCGACCAUCAGGGAAAUGUUGAUUCACUACAAAUUUUGCCCCUGCACAGUAUCCCCCAACGCAUGGCGAUCAGUCAUAUGCUCAACUUGGUGAAUCUGGCGCCCUUUAAAAACGUCACUUGCCUAUGACGAAUUCCAGGUGCUUGUCUUCCCUCAACCCCUUACCUUACUCGGGGUGGUACUACUUUCAAGGCGAGCCCCCUGAGAGAAUCUGCUCCGAGGACUACGAGCAACGUGAAGGGGUUGAAGACGAGGUCUUUUUUUGCCUCGGGGGACGCAUGGGAGUUCCCCUUCGGGCACGACCACCAGCGCCAGUACCUCCGCGGGUCCCAGAUCUUGGGGAACGCAGGUAGUUCACUAUUUUUUUUUUAAAGCCCUUGUGGUCGUCUGAUAUGUCAUUUCAGGGAAAAGCUGCAACAAAUUGCCGACUCUGUCCGAGGUUGACGCCAGAGGACGGAGCGAUCUUUUGGGAAGAUAUGAGCCUGAAGGCUACUUUGAAGUUUCAUCAAAGGUCCUGGGUUCGCGAACCUUCACAAACAUUUUGGGUUGGUUUACUCUUCGGCGCUUUCCCACCAGGGCGGAGCAAACCACCCAACCUCGGGUUGACGAGGGUGAGUUCGUUCUUGCGAAGACUCGGUUGAAUACCUGGGACCCAUCAGACGGGAUAUCGGAGGGGCGAUUAGGAAGCCCAUCCUGGUAUCCCCGAUGAAACCCUUCUAAGAGUGGCUCAGGGGGAAGAUAAAGGACCCGUUAUGAUCUCCUAUCUGGAGGACGGUCCGGCUUCUCAGUUCAUUCAGGUUCGGUUUCCAUUUCGGAUUCACGAGUUGUCCCCCGAGCGCAGAUUCUGAUGGUAUAUUCUAGAAAACCAACUGUUUACUGUUUCCGGCUUCCUUAUCUGACAUAUCCUAGUGCGCUAUGUUCGCUAGUUAAGCCAAGGCCGAAAGGCACAAAGACGACAGUCCAAGGCCUCCCACCAAGGAGUGGGUUAUAUCGCGAGAAACGUACGCGGAAGGCGAAACCCCUUUAUCGAAAUCGGCGAGCCGGACUUGUCGAAGGGAAAGGAGCUGCGCCGCCCCCGCCGUAAAAGAUCAAGUCCAACGAGGGGCGAUCAUGCUAGAGGGCGUGUUAGUUGAGGCGGGACUUCUUGCCCCCUGGUGGUGACAUAGGAUCCGAAUCCUGUCGAUGCUUUCGGUGGCUCAGAGGUUGCUCACAGGGGUGAUUUCGGCUUUCGAUAAGGAAAGAGGUUGGACCACUUAUCCGAGAAUGAUUGGUCGCCAAAUCUUUCCUGCCUUGGGCCAGGUAAUUUGGGUGAAAAUCUUGGCGUUGUUUCUUUGAUAAAUACUGAGAUGUUUAUUUGGGCAGUGGUCGUGUUUUCUCUUCUCUCUUCCUCCCGCCUCCCACUAGGAGCAUCUUCACGAUAUAGCCUUCCAUCUGGCUCGCUGCAGAUUUCCGCCGAGCCUGGAAUUGGUAAAAACUCAAAACGAGCCCUUAAGGCGGAGAAUAAGCUGUCCGAGCUUAGCGAGGAAGGAUCAAAGGCCCGGCAACGAUGUGGAAACGAUCUGAAGGCCACUGUGGCGGAACUGCCAAUAACUAGCGAGGCCAAGGAGCUAGCAUUGAGGACUUCAAAGCCUCGGGAGAAUUCAAGCAAGCGGUUACAGAUUCCUGCUGCGACGUCUUCAGCGAGGGCUUUGAUUUUGCAGAGGCACUCAACCAUCAUUCCCCAACCUCGCGUUGACGGUUGGCGAAUAUGGCGAUGGACCGCCAAGUUUCGCCGAGGAAGAGGAGGCGAUGAAAGAAGGAGAAGCUCCCUGUGCAGGAGUUGCUCCCAAUGGUAAUAAUUUUUUUUUUUUAAUAUGUAAUAUUUGUCCAUAUGAAUGAAAAAUAUUCAUUUGAAAAAUUUUGUUCCGUGUCUUUCGUUGAGUGUUAAUGGCGACCAUAAUAAUGGGCGAAAUUCAACAAAUUGAAUAAUAUUGGCGAUUCGAUAGCGGGCGAUCUUAUUUGUUUUGGGAUUGGGGAUAUCAUUUUUCUUUAACUGGCGACCUCAAUAUGGCGAUCAUCGUAAUAGGCGAUCAUAAUAAUGGCGACAUAGAGACGGGCGAUCAUAAUACAACAGGCGACAUACAUGGCGAUAGCAAUCUUUUCGUAUAAACGAUGAUUCUAACAUAGGCGAAUCUUAACAAUUCCGAUAAAUACUUAUUUAGGGCGCGAAUGGGUUCUCAUGACCUUCAUGAUAGUACUUUUUCAAAUGCUCUCGGCAUUCCAGGAUGUGGAAAGUGUUUUUCUGUCCGGGUCUUCUAAACCAAUAAGUCCCUCGGUCGGGAGACUUUGAUGACCUUGUAAGGACCUUCCCACUUGGGCCGAGCUUCCCUUGUAUUUGGUUCUUUAGUUACAUGGUUACUUUUCCGGCAGACCGGUCGCUCGGAAGGAAUGAACGUGGUCUAACUCUUUGAUUGUGUACUUGGCGACUUGGCAUUUGUAGGCCAUUUGACCUAGCUCGGCGCUCCUCUGUUUCUCUUCAAGGAGGUCCAGGUUGACUCUAGCUCGGCCUAUUAAUUGCCCUGUCGAAAUUCGAAAACCCUGAAGCUUCGGCAUAACCCUAUUUCCACUAGUUACUGAUUCGGUUCCGAAGACCAUGGAAUACGGAGUUUCACCCGAGAAUCCGGCUAGUAGUAUGAUAAGCCAAGUAGCUUGGCAAGUUUUCUGCCCACGUCGUUUUUCGAUUUUCGAUCGUUCUAUCUCUAACUCGCCUUCAAUUUCUGAGGAUGGUACGAUUGGUUACUUCAACUUGUCAUUAGCUUGAGGAUGACCGGGCGAGGGAAAUGAUUGGAUAUGGUGAGAUUCCGACAGAAUAUCUGAACCUGUCGUUGUCGAACUGCCUUGACUGCCUUGGCGUGUCCGAGAUGAUAACCUUUGGGACCUCCGAAUCUGCAAACCAGGUGCUUCCAUACGAAGUCCCGGGUAUUUUUCUCAGUAAUCUUGGCGAUAGGCUAGCUUCUAUCCAUUUAGUAAAUAUCUUGGGCGACGAUUAUAAACUUUCUUGUGCAAAGGAUCUUGCGGUAGGGGACCCAGAAUGUCUAUCCCACUGGGCGAAUGGCCAAGGGCUGGACAUUGUACCUCCUCGUAUGAGGGAGACGGCUAACCGGGGCAAACCUCUGCAUUUGUCGCAUUUCUCUUUAUAAUGCUGCCCGCAUCUCAUCUCGUUCUAUGGGUCGGCCAAAAUAUCCUUGCGAAUAUUUUCUUCGCCAAAGAUCUUGCGCCGGUGUGAUUCCGCUAUGCCUUCGUGUAUUUCUCGUAGAACAUAUUCUGUUCUGGUCCUCUUCUGGUCGGAGACAUCUCAACAGUGGUCCUGAAAAGGACCUCUUGUAUAGCCUGCCCUUGAAAAUGCAAAAUCUUGGGGCGGAUCUGUAUGGAGCGGCGAGCUUGGAGUUUAUCCCUUGGCAAAUCCACUUUCUGGAGAUAGGCAAUAAUUUCGUCCAGCCACGUCGGAUUUUCUUACUACACAUUUGGAGGAUUUGGGUUUGGCGAUUCCAAUGCUUGGGCUGGUUAAAAAUUCCAGAGGUAUCCCUGUCAGAAAUAACUCAAAAUUGACUGCAGAUUAGCCAAGGCAUCUCCUUCUUGUUAUCUUCUCGGGGAAUCUGGUGAAUCUUAAAACUUCUUGAUCUUUGGCGGACACAAGCCUUCCCUCGCCCAAAUAAGCUAUUAUUCUUGCGUCCUUGGCGAGGUACUCCUUGGACUUGGUUUUUACCCCAGUUGUGAGUCACUGAAGACUUCCAAAGAUUGUCUCCCAACUCUGUUGCUACUCUUAGGGCCGGCAAGGAGGGCCUUCCGUAUUCGGGCCCAUUGUUGGUGGCUUUGAACCCCAUUUCUUAUGGGCAGUACUCAUUGUUGUUUGCCUGAUUGAGCUCGUAGGACGAUCCCACACCGCAGCCGUGCUGGUUAGAAGAGCCUCAACGAUAAUAUAUCCUUGGGCGAGGUCUUUUUUCUGAGGUUCUUUAAUUAGGAAUUUCCGCUCAAGAGGAGUCGACUCUGGUUGGUGGAUGUCUUCAUGGGUGGAUUCGACAAUAAAAUCCGCUUGUGGAGUGUCUUCAUGGUUUCUUUGGACUGGUAUUUUAUUGCUCUGUCCUUGGCUUGUAACUCAAUGUGGAACUCACUUAUUUCGAUGACCAUUUCAGGAGUCUGCCGACGUCUGGGUCGUUGGAGAAUCUGCUUUAGUGUUGAUCUGUCAACACUAUGAUGGAAUGGGCCUGAAGUAUGACGAAGUUUUCUGGCGGCGAUCAUUAGGCAUCAGUAGGCGAUCUUUUCAACCCUUGUAUCUGGCCUCAGGCAUCAAUAAGUUUUGCAAUAGUAUAUCGGUUUUUGGAUUUUAUCUACUUCCGCUAGUAUCUAAAAUCUCUGUACUCUGCACUUAAUGCGGUGGGCGAGGCAGAUAAUACCCUAGAUAUCUUCGUCGUCGGUGGGGAACCGAGAGUAAGGCGGGAUCCGAGAUACUCUUUUCAGCUGUUGGGACGGCAUUUCAUAUUUCCUCACCUCCAUGUGAAAGGUCUGGCUCUUUCUUCUCAGGAUUUUGAAGAACGGGAGGCACUUGUCCGUAGAUUUGGAAACGAAUCUGUUCAGGGCGGCACAUCGCCCCAGCAGUUUUCUGCACUUUCUCGUAUUCCUUGGGCAUUUCAUUGUGUAAGGGCUUGUAUUUGAGCCGGGUUCACCUCAACCUCGUUUUGUGAUCAGGAAUCCCUAGAAACUUUCUAGAAGACACUCCGAAAAAUGCAUUUAGAGGAUUCAACAUCAUUCUGUGCCGCCGCAGCAUGUCCGAAAUGCUUCUUCAAGGUGGGCGUGUGGUUUUUGUGGCGUGAGACCUUGUUAAACAACCAGCAUAUCACUAUGUAAACUUCCAUAGUCUUCCCAAUUUGUGCUUGAACAUCUUGUUUGACCAGUCUCUAAUAACGUUGCCGCCCUCCGGCAGCUGCGUUCUUUACAAACCCCGAACGGCUGACUUUUGUAGCAAUAUGGCCCCUGCCCCUGUUCCGUGAUAAAAAAGGAAGUUUUCUCACGUCAGGAGGAUACACAUUUUUGAUUUGGAUGAUACCCCGAGAAGGCAUCCAUUAAAGCUCAGAGCUCAUGCUUGGAGGUGGCGUCGAAUAUCAGAUCGAUUUUAGGCAAAGGAAAACUGUCUUUUCUUUCGGGCAAGCUUUGUUGAGGUCGGUGAUCUACGCACACCCUCCCCUUCCCCCUUUUGGGCGACGACGACAUUGGCGGCCAAUUCGGAUGUGGACUUCUUCCUCGGACAACAUUAGCUUUUGAUGAUUUUGCUUAUUUCAUAUUCAAUGACUUUCAGGCGUUCCAGAUGGGCGAACUUUCUUCUCCAUUGUCUGGCGGAUGGGGAGUAUUCAGGCUUGGUGAAACAACUUAUGCAUGGCGACUUCUGGGGUCGAUACCGGGGACGGUCCACCUGUACCCAGGGCAACACGUCUGAGUUCUUUUUGCAAGAAAUCUAUUAGGCAUACGCAAUUCGUCGGUGAGCUCUUUCCGAUCAUGACUUGACGAUCUGGGUAGCCUGGGUGAACUGAGAUUGGGACGACUUCUUCGACGAGAGGUUUGGUAUUUUCCGAUUUCCUUUCUCUGGGGUCUUCUAGGAUAAGCUGUUCUUAACCUCUUCUCUCAAUAUCCCCGUGUCAAUCGCCCGCCUUCUGUUAUUGCUAUUGAACGGACUGAACGGAAGUUCCAACCUUCAUGGCUGUAUAAAGCAUUGCCUAGUCCCCACUUCUGAUCGGCCCUUACUUCGCCUAUCCCAGUCAAGGUGGGGAAUUUCAUCUUCAGGUGGUAGUAGCAGUGAUCGCCUUGAUCCUCCCAGUGUAGGUGGCCCUAGGAUUGUCGUUAUAGGCGAUGGACAAUCUACCUAAUACAUCCUGCCAUACAUAUAACGGUUGUCUGGUGUGGUUCGGAGUUCCCAGGGUUUUGGUAGUUGAUCAUCCCAAGGGGUGCGUCGUAUUUCCUCGCUCCAAUCCGAUCAGGGGUAUGGAAAGGAUGCAAUUUUGUCCGGCCCAACUUUCAAUUUUUCUCGACGCUGAUAUGACAAGAUGUCUGCCGAGCUCCCGUUGUCGAUUAAGAUCCUCUGGACUGAAAUUGGCGAUGACGGCGCGAGACCACCAGGGCGUCGUCGUGGGGUAAGUGCACGCCUCUCCAAUCGUCCUACUGAAGGUGAUGGGUGUUUGGUCAGCAAUCGAUGGCGAGGAGAGAUUGUACACUUCCUUCCUCGUCGGCCGGUCCACGUCACUUCUGGCAUGCCUUUUCUGGAUGAAGUUGAAUAACCGCCCUAACCCGAACCGUCUGUGGAUUGUUUGUAUAUCGCCCCCCGCAUUGGUCUUUAUCUCUGUACCUUCUUUUCAGGGGAAUUGGGUGGAGGGUCGAGUUAGCUACUACUUCCAUCAGUAACCCCUCUUAAUGAGGUCGGCAUUUGUUUCCUUCAGUUGAAAAUAGUCCUCAAGUAUUUGUCCGUGGUCCCCGAUAGAAUUCACAAUAUUUUGUUUUCCUGUUCCUUUUCCUGGGGGUCAGUUUUUGAUCUUCGGGCCCAGUUGAGACGAACUCUUCGUGUUAAUUUCCAAGAGUACUUGGGCGAACAGGGGCGUUGAGUUGCGGUAGAGUAAAAUCAGUCGCGAGGAGGAGUGCGAGGAUGCCUUCAUUGAUCGUUUGGGAUCUCCGGUCAGUUCUCUUGUACCGUCGUUUCUUCUUCUCUAUAUUCAGCUCGCUCUCGUAUCAGGUUCUUUCCUCUUAUGAUCUUUCUUUUCCUCGUCCGGCCUUGUUUGGGCCUUGGCCACUCCUCUGCUGCGACAUACUUGUCGGCCUUUGCUCUAGAGUGCGGAAUAAAGUUCAGGACCGUUUUUGGAAAGGGAGUCGAACAGCGGACCAGGUCGGAGUCCUUCCAAUCAUUGCCUGAUUAUUACUUUGUCGCUGGAUCCUCGACUUCUAGAAUAGCCCUGAUUGAAUCAUUUUCACGAAAUCUUUCAAAGCUCCUCAAUCUCUUUUUGAUGAUGGUAAAAAGGUGAGAGGCCGUUCUUUUGGUGUUUUCUCAGCUCAUGAAAUUGGCAACAAAGAGUCUACAAGAUCGCCAAAAGAAUCAAUGGUUCCUGGCGAGAGUUUUCGAACCAUGCCCUCUGGCAGUCCCUUUCAAAGUGGGCGGAGAACGCUUUGGGCACAUAAUUUCAUCCGAGCAAACCCUGGAGCGACAUUAGGCUUUUGUACAGUCCAGGUGGUCCAUUGGAUUUGUUUUGCCUUCGUAAAUCCGAGCUGGGCGGGGAGCUAAUUUCGACGAAACCCAAGCCUCAAUAUCCUUUCUGUGACUGGCGGUUUUGGGUCUGUCUAAUUAGUGUGGUCCACUUCACGGUGGCAUUCGUCCCGGUGUUGAUGGCGUCGAGUCGGGCGUUCCAAAUCUCGGAUCUUUUGUGAGGUGGCUUAUCUCGUGCCCCUGAUGUGGUCCCCCUGUGAGGCUCCUCCCCCCCUCGAUCUGGUUUGAGUUUUUAACUAGAUUCCGAGACUCUUUUCCGCGAAGGGCGAGCUCGGGCUUGGCAUCUCCCUCGCCCUACUUUGUCGGCCUGGUAAUUUUGAGAACGAUUUCCUGAACGAUUCGAGUGACGAGAUCGCUCGAUAUCGGGAAACGGGUGGUGCGGGCUGGAGGUGGGGGGUUGAGCAGCGAGGAGUUGGCAUAGGCGCCAUUAUUCUCGUUCAUUUAUCCUCAUCUGCUCAGCCAUAGAUCGUGUAUCCACGGUGGAGGCCUUCUAGAUCUAGAACUUGGGCUGGAAUUGGCCAUAGGAAUGGAUCUGUUACCCGUGGGGCUACUGGGUACUUUGGUCUAAGGUAGGGUUGCGGCUGCGCAGGUGCUAGAGAACUGUCGUUCCCCAUACAGAACGCGCCAAAACUUUUGGGUAAAAAAUUGGGGCGAGCAACUCAACAUCACUUUGCUGGUCUCCCGGCACUCCUGGAACUCGGAUAUUUGAGAGCGAUCCUGCACAGACUAACAAAGUAAACGGCCGGGGCGAGCCGAUCAAACCCCUCCGGCUUGAAGAUCAGACUAAAGUCGAAACCGUGGAUAAAAUGGCUCUGAAGAGAAUUGUGGUGUGUUCUGCGUUAGCGCGUGUUUUUUUUGCGUACCUUUGUUUAAUGGGGGAGGCGGUCCUUUUUAUAGAUGGAUAAUGGGCCCGUGCCCAUGGAUCAUUGCGAGAUCCUCGAAGAUAAGUAUGUAAGGAGGCCCAGAGAUAUAGGAGGCAUAAUUGGGAAGAUUGCCAUUUGGAGAGUAUCCCUUAAUUGUCGUGCCGUGGAGGAGAAGAUCUCGCAAUGAUCUAUUUUCCAUUGUAUAGAUAGGAUUCC
rnacentral:lncRNA from 1 species